rnacentral:sRNA from 1 species
AAUAAGACGGAGAAGAAGAGCGAAACC